AAGCUCGUAGUUGACUUUCGGGCUCAAUACGUCGGUCGUGCCUUCGGUACGCCCUGGCGUCGUUGAUUUCUCCCUUCUGAUGAAUCAUGAUGUCAUUAAUUUGGUGUCGUGGGGAGUCAGGACUGUUACUUUGAAAAAAUUAGAGUGUUUAAAGCAGGCAAACGCUUGAAUACAUUAGCAUGGAAUAAUGAAAUAGGACGUUUGAUCCUAUUUUGUUGGUUUCUAGGAUUGACGUAAUGAGUAAUAGGGAUAGUUGGG
rnacentral:rRNA from 1 species